rnacentral:SRP_RNA from 1 species
CGCGAUGAAGGUUGGGUCCCGUGCGAUCCUUUGGCGUGAACCCUGUCAGGUCCUGACGGAAGCAGCAGUAAGCGUUGGAAGGAUGUGCUGCGGGGUUGCCCGGCCUGAGCG